rnacentral:rRNA from 1 species
GACGAACGCUGGCGGCGCGCCUAACACAUGCAAGUCGAACGAGCGAGAGAGAGCUUGCUUUCUCGAGCGAGUGGCGAACGGGUGAGUAACGCGUGAGGAACCUGCCUCAAAGAGGGGGACAACAGUUGGAAACGACUGCUAAUACCGCAUAAGCCCACGACCCGGCAUCGGGUAGAGGGAAAAGGAGCAAUCCGCUUUGAGAUGGCCUCGCGUCCGAUUAGCUAGUUGGUGAGGUAAAGGCCCACCAAGGCGACGAUCAGUAGCCGACCUGAGAGGGUGACCGGCCACAUUGGGACUGAGACACGGCCCAAACUCCUACGGGAGGCAGCAGUGGGGAAUAUUGCACAAUGGGGGAAACCCUGAUGCAGCGACGCCGCGUGAGCGAAGAAGUAUUUCGGUAUGUAAAGCUCUAUCAGCAGGGAAGAAGAAAUGACGGUACCUGACUAAGAAGCACCGGCUAAAAUACGUG